UACAGAGGGGGCAAGCGUUAUUCGGAAUUACUGGGCGUAAAGGGCUCGUAGGUGGCCAACUAAGUCAGACGUGAAAUCCCUCAGCUUAACUGGGGAACUGCGUCUGAUACUGGAUGGCUUGAGUUUGGGAGAGGGAUGCGGAAUUCCAGGUGUAGCGGUGAAAUGCGUAGAUAUCUGGAGGAACACCGGUGGCGAAGGCGGCAUCCUGGACCGGCAUUGACGCUGAGGCGCGAAAGCCAGGGGAGCAAAGCGGG
rnacentral:rRNA from 1 species